AUGGUGACGGCGAGGGAGGCGAGGGAGGCGGCGGCGGCGGCCAUGGACGCGAGCAAGUACGUGCGCUACACGCCGGAGCAGGUGGAGGCGCUGGAGCGGCUCUACUACGAGUGCCCCAAGCCGAGCUCGCUGCGCCGGCAGCAGCUGGUCCGGGAGUGCGCCGUGCUGGCCAACGUCGACCCCAAGCAGAUCAAGGUGUGGUUCCAGAACCGCCGCUGCCGGGAGAAGCAGCGCAAGGAGUCCGGCCGCCUGCAGUCGCUCAACCGCAAGCUCACCGCCAUGAACAAGCUGCUCAUGGAGGAGAACGACCGCCUCCAGAAGCAGGUCUCCCACCUUGUCUACCAGAACGGAUACUACCGCCAGCAGACGCACAGCGUACGCACUCCUCCACCUCCACCCCCGGCGACGAUGAGCCCUCCUCCCUUGCGGCCGCCGAGAGCUCACGCCUUCACUCCUCCUCCUCCUCCUCUCCCGUUGCCGUUGCAGGCGGGGCUGGCCACCACGGACACGAGCUGCGAGUCGGUCGUCACCAGCGGCCAGCAGAACGUCGUCGUCGUCGUGCCGCCGCCGCCCCGCGACGCCAGCCCUGCUGGAUUGAUGUCCAUCGCCGAGGAGACACUAACGGAGUUUCUGUCCAAGGCCACCGGAACCGCCGUCGAGUGGGUCCAAAUGCCUGGGAUGAAGCCUGGUCCGGAUUCCAUUGGAAUCAUCGCCAUCUCGCAUGGCUGCGCGGGUGUUGCUGCGCGAGCUUGCGGCCUCGUAGGCAUGGAGCCUGCCAAAGUUGCCGAAAUCCUCAAGGAUCGGCCACUGUGGCUGCGUGAUUGCCGGUCUAUGGAGGUAGUAAAUGUGCUGCCUGCUGGCAGCAAUGGCACGAUUGAGCUGCUCUACAUGCAGCUCUAUGCUCCGACGACACUAGCGCCAGCUCGUGACUUCUGGUUGAUGCGCUACACAUCCAUUCUCGAUGAUGGAAGCCUAGUGGUAUGUGAAAGAUCACUCAGUAGCAAGCAAGGAGGCCCAAGUAUGCCCCUUGUGCAGCCUUUUGUUAGAGGUGAGAUGCUUCCCAGCGGUUUCUUGAUCCGGCCUAGUGAUGGUGGAGGUAGCGUGAUUCACAUCGUUGACCAUUUGGACCUGGAGCCUUGGAGUGUGCCUGAAGUUGUGAGACCACUGUAUGAAUCUUCUGCCAUGGUGGCCCAGAAGAUGUCGAUGGCGGCCUUGCGCUAUCUCAGGCAAGUUGCUCAUGAAGAUACUCAUUCUGUAAUCACUGGAUGGGGCAGACAGCCUGCAGCCUUGCGAGCUCUGAGCCAAAAGCUCACCAGAGGUUUAAAUGAAACUCUCGGUGGGCUUGCGGAUGAUGGAUGGUCCGUGAUUGAGAGCGACGGCGUAGAUGAUGUUUGUAUCUCUGUUAAUUCAUCCCCGAGUAAAGUGAUGAGUUGCACCGCAACAUUCAGUGAUGGACUGCCCAUGGUUAGUACUGGUGUUCUUUGUGCAAAGGCCUCGAUGCUAUUGCAGGAUGUGUCUCCACCAUCACUACUGCGGUUUUUGCGGGAGCAUCGGUCGCAGUGGGCUGAUAGCAGUUUAGAUGCAUUCUUUGCUUCUGCGCUGAAGCCCAAUUUCUCCAAUUUACCUAUGUCUCGUCUUGGAGGAUUUAGUGGCCAGGUUAUACUCCCUUUAGCACACACGUCUGACCCUGAGGAAUUCUUGGAAGUUAUCAAGAUAGGAAAUGCCAGUAACUAUCAAGAUACACUGAUGCAUCGCGAUCUUUUCCUCUUACAGAUGUACAACGGGAUAGACGAGAACACCAUGGGCACCUGUUCAGAGCUUAUCUUUGCACCCAUAGACGCAUCUUUCGGUGAUGAUUCUCCGCUGCUGCCUUCCGGUUUCCGCAUCAUUCCGAUGGAGUCUCCUCUUGACACGUCUAGCCCGAACUGCACGUUGGACCUCGCGUCCACCCUUGAGGUUGGAACACCCGGAAGCAGGAUACCCGGUCACUCCAGGAGUAGCUCGAAGGCUGUGAUGACGAUCGCAUUUCAGUUUGCCUUCGAGAGCCACCUGCAGGACAGCGUGGCAGCCAUGGCGCGGCAGUACAUGCGCAGCAUCAUCUCGUCGGUGCAAAGGAUAGCGCUGGCGCUGUCGUCCUCGCACCUCGUGCCACAUGGAAGCUCUCGCCUCCUACCGUCUGUAACUCCAGAGGCGGCCACGCUCUCCCGAUGGAUUGUCCAGAGCUACAGAUUUCACUUUGGGGCAGAGCUCAUCAAAGCCGCAGACGCUAGCAGCGGCGAGUCGGCGCUCAAAGCCCUCUGGCAGCAUACCAGCGCCAUCCUAUGCUGCUCUCUCAAGGCGAUGCCGGUCUUGACGUUCGCGAACCAGUCCGGGCUGGACAUGCUGGAGACGACGCUGGCGGCGCUCCGGGAGAUCACCAUGGACAAGGUGCUGGACUACGACCAGGGGAGGAAGAGCCUGCUGUGCGCGGACCUGAUGGCCAGCGUGGCGGAGCAGGGGUACGCGUGCGUCGAGGGCGGGACGUGCGCGUCGAGCAUGGGCCGGCCGGCGUCGUACGGGAAGGCGGUGGCGUGGAAGGUGCUCGACGACGGCGGCGCCGGCGCCGCCCACUGCGUCUGCUUCGCCUUCAUGGACUGGUCCUUCGUUUAG
rnacentral:rRNA from 1 species